rnacentral:rRNA from 1 species
CCUACGGGAGGCAGCAGUGGGGAAUCUUCCGCAAUGGGCGAAAGCCUGACGGAGCAACGCCGCGUGAUCGAAUGAAGGCCUUCGGGUUGUAAAGAUCUGUUGACAGGGACGAAUAAGCCAUGCGAAUAGUUUGGUGUAUGACGGUACCUGUUUAGAAAGCUCCGGCUAACUACGUGCCAGCAGCCGCGGUAAUACGUAGGUGACAAGCGUUAUCCGGAUUUAUUGGGUGUAAAGGGCGUGUAGGCGGGAAAGCAAGUCAGAUGUGAAAACUCAGGGCUCAACCCUGAGCCUGCAUUUGAAACUGUUUUUCUUGAGUGCUGGAGAGGCAAUCGGAAUUCCGUGUGUAGCGGUGAAAUGCGUAGAUAUACGGAGGAACACCAGUGGCGAAGGCGGAUUGCUGGACAGUAACUGACGCUGAGGCGCGAAAGCGUGGGGAGCAAACAGGAUUAGAUACCCUUGUAGUC